ACUCAAAUGAAUUGACGGGGGCCCGCACAAGCGGCGGAGCGCGUUGCUUAAUUCGAAGCAAAGCGAAGAACCUUACCCAGGCUUGACAUGCGAGAUGUAGGCGCCUGAAAGGGUGGCCCACCCGUAAAAUCGGGAACUCGUGCAGGUGUUGCAUGGCUGUCGUCAGCUCGUGCCGUGAGGUGUUGGCUUAAGUGCCGCAACGAGCGCAACCCCCGUCACAUGUUGCCACCAGGUAAUGCUGAGCACUCAUGUGAGACUGCCGGGGAAACCCCGGAGGAAGGAGGGGAUGACGUCAAGUCAGCAUGGCCCUUACGCCUGGGGCUGCAAACGCGCUACAAUGCGUGGUACAGCGGGCUGCGAGACCGCAAGGUGGAGCGAAUCCCGAAAAACCACGCUCAGUUCGGAUUGGGGUCUGCAACUCGACCCCAUGAAGUCGGAGUCGCUAGUAAUGGCAGAUCAGCAUGCUGCCGUGAAUGCGUUCCCGGGCCUUGUACACACCGCCCGU
rnacentral:rRNA from 1 species